rnacentral:rRNA from 1 species
UGGGGAAUCUUCCGCAAUGGACGAAAGUCUGACGGAGCAACGCCGCGUGAGUGAAGACGGCCUUCGGGUUGUAAAGCUCUGUGAUCCGGGACGAAAGAGCCUGAGGUGAAUAGCCUAAGGAAGUGACGGUACCGGAAAAGCAAGCGACGGCUAACUACGUGCCAGCAGCCGCGGUAAUACGUAGGUGGCAAGCGUUGUCCGGAAUUAUUGGGCGUAAAGCGCGCGCAGGCGGCUUCCUAAGUCCAUCUUAAAAGUGCGGGGCUUAACCCCGUGAUGGGAUGGAAACUGGGAAGCUGGAGUAUCGGAGAGGAAAGUGGAAUUCCUAGUGUAGCGGUGAAAUGCGUAGAGAUUAGGAAGAACACCGGUGGCGAAGGCGACUUUCUGGACGAAAACUGACGCUGAGGCGCGAAAGCGUGGGGAGCAAACAGG